CACGUAGGGUGCGAGCGUUGUCCGGAAUUAUUGGGCGGAAAGAGCUCGUAGGCGGUGUGUCGCGUCGGCCGUGAAAACCUGCAGCUUAACUGUGGGCUUGCGGUCGAUACGGGCAUCACUGGAGUUCGGCAGGGGAGACUGGAAUUCCUGGUGUAGCGGUGAAAUGCGCAGAUAUCAGGAGGAACACCGGUGGCGAAGGCGGGUCUCUGGGCCGAUACUGACGCUGAGGAGCGAAAGCGUGGGGAGCGAACAGG
rnacentral:rRNA from 1 species